AAGGAUCAUUAAAUAAUCAAUAAUCUUGGCUUGUCCAUUAUUAUCUAUUUACUGUGAACUGUAUUAUUAUUUGACAUUCGAGGGAUGUUCCAAUGUUAUAAGGAUAGACAUUGGAAAUGUUAACCGAGUCAUAAUCAGGUUUAGGCCUGGUAUCCUAUUAUUAUUUACCAAAUGAAUUCAGAAUUAAUAUUGUAACAUAGACCUAAAAAAUCUAUAAAACAACUUUUAACAACGGAUCUCUUGGUUCUCGCAUCGAUGAAGAACGUAGCAAAGUGCGAUAACUAGUGUGAAUUGCAUAUUCAGUGAAUCAUCGAGUCUUUGAACGCAACUUGCGCUCAUUGGUAUUCCAAUGAGCACACCUGUUUCAGUAUCAAAACAAACCCUCUAUCCAACUUUUGUUGAAUAGGAUUAUUGGGGGCCUCUCGAUCUGUAUUGAUCUUGAAACCCUUGAAAUGUACUAAGGCCUGAACUUGUUUAAUGCCUGAACUUUUUUUUAAUAUAAAGGAAAGCUCUUGUAAUUGACUUUGAUGGGGCCUCCCAAAUAAAUCUCUUUAAAUUUGAUCUGAAAUCAGGUGGGAUUACCCGCUGAACUUAA
rnacentral:rRNA from 1 species